CUAUGGCCACACCCCUGUAAUGCACCUGAUCUUGUCUGAUCUGGAAGCUAAGCAGGGUCGGGCCUGGUUAGUACUUGGAUGGAAGAAUAAUAUUUAUGGGGAUGCCCGGGUGGCUCAGUGGU
rnacentral:rRNA from 1 species